GUGUGAAUUGCAGAAUUCAGUGAAUCAUCGAAUCUUUGAACGCACAUUGCGCCCUUUGGUAUUCCAAAGGGCAUGCCCGUUCGAGCGUCAUUUGUACCCUCAAGCUUUGCUUGGUGUUGGGCGUCUUGUCUCUAGCUUUGCUGGAGACUCGCCUUAAAGUAAUUGGCAGCCGGCCUACUGGUUUCGGAGCGCAGCACAAGUCGCACUCUCUAUCAGCAAAGGUCUAGCAUCCAUUAAGCCUUUUUUUUCAACUUUUGACCUCGGAUCAGGUAGGGAUACCCGCUGAACUUAAGCAUAUCAAUAAGCGGAGGAA
rnacentral:rRNA from 1 species